rnacentral:rRNA from 1 species
UACGAAGGGGGGCUAGCGUUGCUCGGAAUCACUGGGCGUAAAGGGCGCGUAGGCGGACUCUUAAGUCGGGGGGUGAAAGCCCAGGGCUCAACCCUGGAAUUGCCUUCGAUACUGAGAGUCUUGAGUUCGGAAGAGGUUGGUGGAACUGCGAGUGUAGAGGUGAAAUUCGUAGAUAUUCGCAAGAACACCAGUGGCGAAAGGCGGCCAACUGGUCCGAUACUGACGCUGAGGCGCGAAAAGCGUGGGGAGCAAACAGG